AUUUUCUAUACACAUUCACAACGGAGACAUUAUGGGAUCUCAUCACACAGCUUGGUAUAUGACCCAUCCAACAUUUGAGAAAUAGUGAAGAUGUCAAGUCCAGGAGCUCCAAACAAUGCCUCAGCUGGUGGAUCCUAUAAUUAGGUGUCUUUCUUCCAUUACUACUGCAGUAGUGAAGUUUUUAUUCCACUUGGUUCCCUUCUUCCAGAGUUUCUGCUUGAAACACUCACUCCUGGAGCCGGCCAUUACAUUGCUUGUUUAGCUUUCAUGGAAGGCUCCAAGCUCAUUAGACCAGAAACAUUGUUCCUUUGCCUAUGUAUCUUUUUGACAUAUUCUCUUAAGGAAGAGCUACUUAUAUCAAGGCUCCAUCUUUCUGAGUUGCAGGGCAAAAGUGUUGGAACAAUGGCAGCAUGUAUUAAUCCAAAUAGCAAGCAGAACCAAAUGAGAUCGAAGCAAAAGAAAACAAAGCACAAAAGCAAUGAACAAGACUUGAAUACUCAGCAAAAAAUGUAACCGAACAUCAAUUUCAUUCAAAUUUCAAAAUGUAAUUAAGUUACAAUUGAUAAAAUGACAAUUACCUAAUUGUUU